GCCCGUGCUGUUGCGAAUGCUGCGCGUGCACUCUCUUCCGCGGCUGCGUGAUAUUCCACGGGGCGCGCAGCAUCUGCUCCUCCUACCGCGCCCUCGCACGCAUCCCAUCGGCACCUCAUCUUGGCUUCUGCCCCUGAACCCCGUACGUGGGGCUCCAGCGCGCUCAUGUAAAAUAUAUAAAACUGAAGCAGCCGGUGGCCUCUCAAAUGUGGCCGCCGACAUGAACGGAAACGCCCCCCUGAGCCCUGGGACAGGUCCCCGGGGCUGGUCCGAGCCAGUGUGAGCGGCAGAGCCUGGAGGAAGGAGGUGGAGAAGCCACGGGGAGCGAACAGGCCCUUAAAGGGGCAGGAACAUUCCUCCUGCCGCCCUCACCCUACUGCUCUGACAUCCGUCAAGAUCCUAAUCGGCUCUGAAUUCCUGGGCUCUUGCAGGAGCCGCCUUCAGGAUGACCCUGGCCCGGGGCCCCGUUUGCCCGCUCGCUCUCCCUCACUGCACCCC